UACGUAGGUGGCAAGCGUUGUCCGGAUUUACUGGGCGUAAAGAGCGCGCAGGCGGUCGUUCAAGUCGCGUGUGAAAGCCCCCGGCUCAACUGGGGAGGGUCACGCGAUACUGAUCGACUCGAAGGCAGGAGAGGGUAGUGGAAUUCCCGGUGUAGUGGUGAAAUGCGAAGAUAUCGGGAGGAACACCAGUGGCGAAGGCGACUACCUGGCCUGUUCUUGACGCUGAGGCGCGAAAGCUAGGGGAGCAAACAGG
rnacentral:rRNA from 1 species